UGGGGAAUCAUGGUCAAUGGGCGAAAGCCUGAACCUGCGACGCCGCGUGAGUGAUGAAGGUCGUAAGAUCGUAAAACUCUUUUCAGGGAUCUUAAAGCCUGUCUGUCAACAACAGGCAGGUCUGACUCUCCCUGGAAGAAGCCCCAGCCAACUACGUGCCAGCAGCUGCGGUAAUCCGUAGGGGGCGAGCGUUAUUGGGACUUACUGGGUGUAAAGGGUAUGUAGGCGGCCCUUCAAGUCGCGUGUCAAAGUCCAGUGCUCAACGCUGGGUGUGCACGCGAUACUGACGGGCUUGAGUGCUGUAGAGGUGAGCGGAAUUCCCGGUGUAGUGGUAAAAUACGUAGAGAUCGGGAGGAACACCAGCGGCGCAGGCGGCUCACUAGACAGUUUCUGACGCUAAGAUACGAAAGCGUGGGGAGCAAACA
rnacentral:rRNA from 1 species